GACCAAGGUAUCAUGACCUGCAUCUACCAUUGUAGCAUUUGAUGUUACAUUUUAAGGAUGAGUUAAUAUGAGCUGAAUGACUUAGCCAGAUCCAGGACCUGACAUCCAGGUACCACAGUUCAAAUCUUCCUCUAAGUAACCAGGCAAGCUCGCUCUUAUUAGCUCUAUUUUGGACAAGAGGAAGCUUAGACUCAGGGACGUAAAUUGACUUGAUCAAGCGCCAACAGCUUAUGAGAGAUAGAACUCUAUCAAUUGGUCUUGACUCCAGCAUCACUCUUGCCGUGACUUUGUGCUGCCUCCUAACGUAUCUAUAUCUGUACUUGUGAAAAUAGUACGAGGUGAAACACUUUUUUUUUUUUUUUUUUUGGCUUUUAGCUGAGGUACUAAGCAAACGAAGCUCUGCCCAAAACAUGAACAACGUCAAGAGGACCAGGGAGAAACCUAUCACAAGUCAGUUACACCUCAGCCAGCAGAGCUGAGCCUACAGGCCGCACUGAGGAAGUGAUCUCCCUGGACUGAAUGAGGCCAGUCACAGAUCUGCCAUCACCAAGCCAGUCCUUAGAGGGACCUAUGAAGUUGUGUGUUUGUGAUGUCCUAUUAUGCUGGUUGAGCCUUACCAAGACUAUUUGUUUACCCACUGAUGGACCCAUAAGCUACUUGUGGUUGAAACUGCAUGUGUGCCCAUUGACGAAACCCCACCCUUGCCCCCAAAAUUGUUUUUAAGUGAGCUUCUUCGCUUCCUCUUCACAUGCAUUCUCUCUAUGGUAGGCACCAUCUUUCUUGAAGUCAGUGGAUGCAAAUGAAAUCUCCUUGUCCCAUCCCAUCACCAUGCUUACCUCCAAGCCCAACUUACUUAUGACAUCAUGCACAAACACUGCGUCAUGCAUUACUAUCUCUGCCCCUCAACUACUCUCCUAAACAGAGACCUUUAAAAUUUCCUGUAGCAAAUAAAUAGUCAAGAUACCUAAAUCCCA
rnacentral:lncRNA from 1 species